rnacentral:rRNA from 1 species
AUGAAAAUCCUAUGCUGGAACUGUCGCGGUAUGGCCAGUACCGCAGCACAAAGAGCGCUUCUGGAGAUCCAGAAGCAAUGGGGGCCGGAUGUGUUUUUCUUGUCCGAAACACAUUUGAAUACUGCUAGGGCAGAUAAAUUAAGGAAGAAAAUAAAGAUGGAUAGAGUGGAGGUGGUAGAGAGUGUUGGUAACAGUGGGGGUUUGCUAUUGUUC